rnacentral:lncRNA from 1 species
CAAAGAUUCUCCUCAACAACAGUUCUUUCUGAUAGGCUCCUGUAAUUUUCCACCAACAGUUGGUACCCAAGCUUCUUUUAAGCAGACACAACUUUCAUAUGCUCUAAAUGUGGGUAAACCAGUCGCAAAAGCCUUGUACUCUCACGUGUUUGGCUCCAGACAUGGGAAGGUAAAUUAAAAAGAAAUCAGCACUGAAGGAGAGAAUGAGGAAGUCAUAGAGUGCACACACCCAGUCUGGGCCAAGGGUGUGCACUGAAGAUAAGCCAGUCCUACCUGCCUGUCCUGAUGUACCCAGACCUGGAUCCAUGGGUAAGAAACCCCCACCUGGGUGGGAGGUGAUGGCACACACUUUUAAUCCUAGCACACAGGAGGAAAAGGAAGGCAGAUCCCCUCAAUCCAAGGCCAGCCUGGUCUACAAAGUGAGUUCCAGGAUGGCCAGUACUACACAGAGAAACCCUGUCUCAAAAAAAAAACAAAAAAACAACAACAAAAAAAACCAAGAAACCCUCACCCCCAAGAGAUAUGGAAGACAACGUGCCCUUCUAAGCCUGCAAGACAGAUUGAUGAUGCCUAGCCCAAUUGUCAUCAGAGAGCCUUCACCUAGCAACGGAUGGAAACAGAUGCAGAGACCCUCAGCCAAACAUUAGGCAGAGCUUGGGGAAUCCUACAGAAGAGAGGGAGAAAGGAUUGUAGGAGCCAGAAGGGUCAAGGACAUCACAACAAAACCCACAGAAUCAACUAACUGGGCUUAUAGGGGCUCAUAGAGACUGGACUGACAACCAUGGAGCCUACAUGGGACCGACCUAUAACCUCUGCACACAUGUUACAGUAGUGUAGCUUGGUCUUCUUGUGGGACUCCUAACAGAGGGAGCAGGGGAUGUCUCUGACUCUAUUACCUGCUUUUGGGAUGCUUUCCUCCUAG